rnacentral:rRNA from 1 species
ACAUCCAAGGAAGGCAGCAGGCGCGCAAAUUACCCACUCUCAAAACGAGGAGGUAGUGAAGAGAAAUAACGAUGUUAGUCUUUUAUAGGCUGACAAUCGGAAUGGGAACACUGUAAACAGGUUAUCGAUUAACAAUUGGAGGGCAAGUCUGGUGCCAGCAGCCGCGGUAAUUCCAGCUCCAAUAAGGAAAACUAAAGUUGCUGUGUUUAAAAAGCUCGUAGUUGAAUUUCGGGUAUUUGUUGCUAGCUGGUCUUACUGGCCAUGUUGGUUAACAGAUCCUCAUUUGCUGGACGGCUGGCGAUGAUCUUUAUCGAUUGUCGUUAGUUGCCAGAACGUUUACUUUGAGAAAAUUAGAGUGCUAAAAGCAGGCUCACGCCUAUAUAUAUUGCAUGGAAUAAUGAAAUAAGAUCUCGAUUUUAUUUCGUUGGUUUUAGAAAUUGAGAUAAUGAUUAAUAGGAUCAGAGGGGGGCGUACGUACUGUGGUGUGAGAGGUGAAAUUCUUGGAUCGCCACAGGACGAACAGCAGCGAAGGCGUUCGCCAAGAAUGUUUUCAUUAAUCAAGAACGAAAGUUUGAGGUUCGAAGACGAUUAGAUACCGUCCUAGUUCAAACCAUAAACGUUGCCAACUGUCUUUUAGAUGCGGUUAUUUACAUGACUCAUCUGGCGGAUCUCGAGAAAUCUAAGUUUUUAGGUUCCGGGGGAAGUAUGGUUGCAAAGCUGAAACUUAAAAGAUUGACGGAAGGACACACAAGAAGUGGAGCCUGUGGCCUAAUUUGACUCAACACGGGAAACCUUACUCGGCCAGGACACU